CCUACGGGAGGCAGCAGUGGGGAAUAUUGGGCAAUGGACGCAAGUCUGACCCAGCAACGCCGCGUGAAGGAAGAAGGCUUUCGGGUUGUAAACUUCUUUGAAGGGGGAAGAGCAGAAGACGGUACCCCUUGAAUAAGCCACGGCUAACUACGUGCCAGCAGCCGCGGUAAUACGUAGGUGGCAAGCGUUUUCCGGGUUGACCGGGCGUAAAGGGCGGGCAGCGGGGUAGACAAGUCAGCUGUGAAAUCCACGGGCUCAACCCGUGAACUUCAUCUGAAACUAUUUCCCUUGAGUGUCGGAGAGGUAAUCGGAAUUCCUUGUGUAGCGGUGAAAUGCGUAGAUAUAAGGAAGAACACCAGGGGCGAAGGCGGAUUACUGGACGAUAACUGACGGUGAGGCGCGAAAGCGUGGGGAGCAAACAGGAUUAGAUACCCCAGUAGUC
rnacentral:rRNA from 1 species